rnacentral:tRNA from 2 species
GCCGCGGUAGCUCAGCCGGUAGAGCACGUCAUUCGUAAUGAUGGGGUCGGGGGUUCGAAUCCCUUCCGCGGCACCA